AUUGAUUUCUCUAUCUUGAACCAUCCUUGGAUCCUUGGGAUAAAACUCCCUUGAUCUUGGUGAAUUGUUAAUGUAAUAUUGGGUUUGGUUGACUAGAUUUUUGUGUUCAUGAGGGAUAUUGGUCUGUAGUUAUUUUUGCUGCCAUUAGGUCCUUUCCUGGCUUUGAUAACAGGGUAAUAUUGGCUUCAUAGAAUGAGUUUGGGACGAUUCCCUACUUCUCAAGCUUUAGUAGUAGUUUCAGUAUAAUUGCCACCAGUUCUUCAAAUGUUUGUUAGAAGUUGGCUGUGAAUCUGUCUGAUCCUGGACUUUUUUUCAUUUGGAUAUUUUUAUUACUAAUUCAGCCUCACUACUUAUUAUUACUCUGUUUACAAUUUCUAUUUCUUCUUGAUUCAAGCUUGGAGGGUUGUGUGUUUCCAAGAGUUUAUACAUUUCCUUUAGAUUUAUUUUUUUAAUUUUACUUUAGGUUCUGGGUACAUGUGCAGGUCAUGCCGGGUUGUUGCAUAGGUGCAUACAUAACCAGAUGAUUUGCUGCCUCUAUUCCCCCUUCAUCUAUAUCUGGCAUUUCUCCCCAUGUUAUCCCUCCCCACCCUCCCCACCCCUUGCUGUCUCUCCCUUAGCCUCCCCCCCAUCUGCCCUCAGUAUGUGAUGCUCCUCUCCCCGAGUCCAUGUGUUCUCAUUGUUCAACACUCGCCUAUGAGUGAGAUCAUAUGGUGUUUGGCUUUCUGUUCUUGUGUCAGUUUGCUGAGAAUGAAGGUUUCCAGAUUCAUCCAAGUCCCUACAAAGGACACGAAUUCAUCAUUUUUUUAUGGCUGCAUAGUAUUCCAUGGUGUAUAUGUGCCACAUUUUCUUUAGUCUAUCAUUGAUGGGCAUUUGGGUUGGUUCCAAGUCUUUGCUAUUGUAAACAGUGCUGCAAUGAACAUACAUGUGCGUAUCUCUUUAUAAUAGAAUGAUUUAUAAUCCCUUGGAUAUAUACCCAGUAAUGGGAUUGCUGGGUCAAAUGGAAUUUCUAUUGCUAGGUCCUUGAGGAAUUGCCACACUGUCUUCCACAAUGGUUGAAAUAAUUUACACCCCCACCAAUAAUGUAAAAGUGUUAAUAUUUCUCCACAUUCUCUCCAGCAUCUGCUGUCUCCAGAUUUUUUAAUGAUUGCCAUUCUAAGUGGCUUGAGAUGGUAUCUCAAUGUGGUUUUGAUUAGCAUUUCUCCAAUGACCAGUGAUGAUGAGCAUUUUUUCAUAUGUUUGUUGGCCUCAUAUAAGUCUUCUUUUGAAAAGUGUCUGUUCAUAUCCUUUGCCCACUUUUGAAUGGGUUUAUUUGUUUUUUUAUUGUAAAACUGUUAUAGUUCUUUGUAGAUUCUGGAUAUAAGUCCUUUCUCAGAUGGCUAGCUUGC
rnacentral:lncRNA from 1 species